CGGUAUUCAAUUCUAAUAUGAGGAUGGAUGGAGUAGAUUGAAAUUUGAUAUUUUAUUCACACUAACACUACAUAAUGUCAAAUUUGCAAUCCUCUUCAUGACUACAGAAGGGAAAAAUGGCAAAUGAAAAAGACAAUGAAGUUCUCAAACAGAUACAAAUGUGGGGCAAACAAUUUCUAAAGGACAAUGUGGAUAACAAUCAGACAGAAACCUUCUCUUCUUUGUCAAUUUACUCAACAGCCAAUGGGACAAGUUCAGCCAGCUUGCGGAAUUUGAGAGCGUAAAACAUCUCAAGAUAACGACGAAUUUCAAGACGAUCAAGCUUGGAAACGUGCUUCCAGAACCCGUAAACAGCAGCUAGUGUCAACAGCCGGUCGGAGUAGAUUUGCCAUGUGUACUUCUCCUGUAUACGCUUAAGGCCACCCUUGGAAAUGGCUUCCCAAUGUGAAGGGUCUACCUUACAUUUCUCGAAGAACUCAGCGAGGAGAUCAGCAGCCUGCUCGCCAUGGUAUGGAUCAAUUUGGAAACCAGACUUUCCAUGAACGAUGAUCUCAGCUGGACCACCUUGAUUAGUUGCAAAUGUAGGCAAACCGCAGCUCAUGGCCUCAACAACAGUCAG
rnacentral:misc_RNA from 1 species